rnacentral:rRNA from 1 species
GCGCGGUAAUACAGAGGGGGCAAGCGUUAUUCGGAAUUAUUGGGCGUAAAGGGCGCGUAGGCGGCCUUGUAAGUCUUGGGUGAAAUCCCUCAGCUCAACUGAGGAACUGCCUCGGAUACUGCAAGGCUUGAGGCCGGGAGAGGGUAGUGGAAUUCCCAGUGUAGCGGUGAAAUGCGUAGAUAUUGGGAGGAACACCGGUGGCGAAGGCGGCUACCUGGACCGGUUCUGACGCUGAUGCGCGAAAGCGUGG